AUCACCUCUGAUGGUUUGGGGGGGGGUCUCACUGCCUCCCAGCACCCCAGGAUCCCCCCGUUGGCCCCCGGGCUGGUUUUGGGGUGCUGUGUGUCCCUGGGGGGGCUGGCAGUGACCCCCGCCGCCCCCAGGUACCGUUACACCCUGGACGAGCUCCCGGCCAUGCUGCACAAGCUCAAGGUGCGCGCGGAGUCCUUCGACACCUGGGCCAACAAGGUGCGCGUCGCCCUGGAGGUGGAGGACGGCCGCAAGCGCACGCUGGAGGAGCUGCGGGCGCUGGAGUCGGAGGCGCGGGAGCGCAAGUUCCCCGAGAACGAGCUGCUGCACCGCCUCAAGGGCUGCCUGGGCCAGGCCGAGCGCUGCGUGUCCGAGGCCCUGGGGCUCAUCAGCUCCCAGGAGACCGGGUGAGUGUCCCUGGGGUGUCCCCGGGGUGUCCCUGGGGUGUCCCCGGGGUGUCCCCGGGGUGUCCCCGGGGUGUCCCUGGGGUGUCCCCAGUGUGUCCCCGGGGUGUCCCUGGGGUGUCCCCGGGGUGUCCCUGGGGUGUCCCCGGGGUGUCCCUGGGGUGUCCCCGGGGUGUCCCUGGGGUGUCCCUGGGGUGUCCCCGGGGUGUCCCUGGGGUGUCCCUGGGGUGUCCCCGGGGUGUCCCUGGGUGUCCCCAGGGUGUCCCCGGGGUGUCCCUGGGGUGUCCCCACAGUGUCCCCGGGGUGUCCCCACGGUGUCCCCAGAGUGUCCCCUCACUGUCCCCACAGUGUCCCCAGAGUGUCCCCAGGGUGUCCCCAUGGUGUCCCCAGGGUGUCCCCAUGGUGUCCCCAGGGUGUCCCCAGAGUGUCCCCAGAGUGUCCCCAUGGUGUCCCCAC
rnacentral:lncRNA from 1 species